UACGGAAGGUUCGGGCGUUAUCCGGAUUUAUUGGGUUUAAAGGGAGCGCAGGCGGAGUUUUAAGUCAGUUGUGAAAUACGGCGGCUCAACCGUCGAGGUGCAAUUGAUACUGGAACUCUAGAGUGCGCGCAGGGAUGCUGGAAUUCAUGGUGUAGCGGUGAAAUGCUUAGAUAUCAUGAAGAACUCCGUUCGCGAAGGCGGGCAUCCGGAGCGCAACUGACGCUGAGGCUCGAAAGUGCGGGUAUCGAACAGG
rnacentral:rRNA from 1 species